UAUGCUAGCGUGAUCCCCGGAUUUUUCCUACUUGGUACUCAUGGGCAUCUGCUUGCACAUUCAGCUCCUGACGUGGAGGGGUCCAGGACAGGCUGAGCCAGACUUAGUAUCACAUGGGAAGACAAGUCAUUGGUGAGAGCUCUUGGACCUCAGUCAGUGAGGAUCGGGAGUUAUUCUAGGGGGAGAUGAUCUUUCCAAAGUAUCCUGUCUGAUUUCUCAACGACAGGCCCCAUACAAAGCAUCAGGUGGCGUCUCCGAUAACAGGGAUCGGUCAGUGACACUGGGUGCACACCAGGCUUUAACAGAAACGAGACCAAGAAGACAUUAAAACUCUAAAGUUAAACUAAUAGAGAAGAUUCUCCGAGAUGCCAAACCACGUGGACCUGGAAAGUCUUCCCUCCUUGUUGGCAACCGGGUGCUUGCCUGCUGCCGUCCUGGCUGAGGACCGGGCCUUAGCUCCAGCUCUACCAAAUACGACAUAAAGUUGGCCUCCAGGGAGCCUCUCAGCCUCGGUGGGAUCUUGUGAAUUUGGAUCUUCAAGAGAGCAGCUUGGACCCACUGUGGCUGGGAGAAUAAACUGCCCACUAAGAUCUGUGGGAGAAUGAAUUAUCCACUAAGGGCUGAGUGGGCUGUGCUUUGCCAACUUUGUUUUCUGUUUAUUUGGAACGGUUACACCGCAGCAGGGGCCUCUCUGGAGUGACCUUUUCAUGAUGCAAAAAUUAGUUUGGGGAAGUUCAAAUUCCCCAAAUGGAACAAUAAUCAGAUGAAAUGACCACAAAGGAAUAAAUUUGCUUCCGAA